UACGUAGGGGGCAAGCGUUGUCCGGAAUCAUUGGGCGUAAAGCGCGCGUAGGCGGCCCGGUAAGUCCGCUGUGAAAGUCCAGGGCUCAACCCUGGAAAGCCGGUGGAUACUGUCGGGCUAGAGUCCGGAAGAGGCGAGUGGAAUUCCUGGUGUAGCGGUGGAAUGCGCAGAUAUCAGGAGGAACACCGAUGGCGAAGGCAGCUCGCUGGGACGGUACUGACGCUCAGGCGCGAAAGCGUGGGGAGCGAACAGG
rnacentral:rRNA from 1 species